CCCACGCGAGCCGUUCCCUUCCCUUCUCUUCUUCCCCCGCCGAACCACCUGUGCCCUAACCUCCGCGACGCCGAAGCAUCAUCCUUCUUCUCUUCCUCUGCCGGUACAAACCACACGCGGAGCUUUUCAUCGCCGGCCGACGAGAGCCAACCGAGGGUCUCCGUUCCUCUCAUCGGGCCGACUCCUAGCUUCUGCCCUAGCUCGGCCGAUCCCUCUUCCUCCUCCCUCACGACACCUCUGCCCUAGAUUGGCAUCGCACAGAGCAGUGCCGCCCACCAGAUCCGACCCAGUGUGCCCAUUGCUUCUUCCCUAGGUGUCGACGCCGAGGGCCCUACUUUCUUUCCUCUCCUCGCGCCGCUCAUAAUGCUAUUUUCCCUCUUUGCUCCCCGGAUUGGACCAAGCGACGCUGCUGCAGUGGAUUACAACGAGAGGAAGCUGUCGGCACUGAGUUAGGGAUACCAGUAAGAAAGGUUGUUCUGUGGACUUUCUAUUACGGCAUCAAAUUCAUCCAGCAGCAACAGUGCUAGGAAUCAAGAUAAGGAUUUUGACGCGAGACGAGCAUCUCGACGUCGGAUUGGACAUUUCUU